rnacentral:rRNA from 1 species
UCGGACGGGUGAGUAACGCGUAGAAUCUGGCUNUAGGUCUGGGACAACCACUGGAAACGGUGGCUAAUACCGGAUGUGCCGAAAGGUGAAAGGUUAACUGCCUGGAGAUGAGCUCGCGUCUGAUUAGCUAGUAGGUGUGGUAAGAGCGCACCUAGGCGACGAUCAGUAGCUGGUCUGAGAGGACGAUCAGCCACACUGGGACUGAGACACGGCCCAGACUCCUACGGGAGGCAGCAGUGGGGAAUUUUCCGCAAUGGGCGAAAGCCUGACGGAGCAAUACCGCGUGAGGGAGGAAGGCUCUUGGGUCGUAAACCUCUUUUCUCAGGGAAGAACAAAAUGACGGUACCUGAGGAAUAAGCAUCGGCUAACUCCGUGCCAGCAGCCGCGGUAAUACGGAGGAUGCAAGCGUUAUCCGGAAUGAUUGGGCGUAAAGCGUCCGCAGGUGGCUGUGUAAGUCUGCUGUUAAAGAGUCUAGCUCAACUAGAUACAAGCAGUGGAAACUACACGGCUAGAGUACGUUCGGGGCAGAGGGAAUUCCUGGUGUAGCGGUGAAAUGCGUAGAGAUCAGGAAGAACACCAGUGGCGAAGGCGCUCUGCUAGGCCGUAACUGACACUGAGGGACGAAAGCUAGGGGAGCGAAAGGGAUUANAU